CGGGGGAGGCUGGAUCCUGGUCUGUGUCCCCGGCACCCUGGGCUCCCGGGCCUGUGCUUUUGGGUUCAUGCUCCCGGGCCGCCCAGCACCCG
rnacentral:pre_miRNA from 1 species